rnacentral:rRNA from 1 species
GCGAGAAGUCCAUUGAACCUUAUCAUUUAGAGGAAGGAGAAGUCGUAACAAGGUUUCCGUAGGUGAACCUGCGGAAGGAUCAUUGUCGAGACCGAAAUAAAAGACCGAGCGAUUCGGAGAACCCGUGAAAUAAGCGGCGGCAGUUCCUGCCGUAGAACAGCCAUCCCACUCGUUGCCUCGUCUCUUUCGGGGGAGAGCAAAGGAUGAAGGAUGGAUGAAAACUCAAACCGGCGCAGCUCCGCGCCAAGGGAAUGCUAUGAAGCACGAGCCCUGCAACGGGUUAGUGGCAUGGAGUGCCGUCGCACGCCAUGUGGGAUUAAAACGACUCUCGGCAAUGGAUAUCUCGGCUCUCGCAUCGAUGAAGAGCGCAGCGAAAUGCGAUACGUGGUGCGAAUUGCAGAAUCCCGCGAACCAUCGAGUCUUUGAACGCAAGUUGCGCCCGAGGCCAACCGGCCAAGGGCACGUCUGCCUGGGCGUCAAGCGUUGCAUCGCUCCGUGCCACCCCCGUCCCACGAAUGCGUGUGCCGGUCGAGGCCCGGAUGUGCAGAGUGGCUCGUCGUGCCCGUUGGUGCGGCGGGCUGAAGAGUGGGUUAUCGUCUCGUUGGCCAACAAUGACAAGGGGUGGAUGAAAGCUGUGAGCAAAAAGCCUAUGUUGUUUCUUGCUUGGCCCGAGAAAACUAUCCCAGCCGAUCCCGACCCAAGSGUCGAUCCACAGGCGACGGCUUGGAAUGCGACCCCAGGAUGGGCGAGGCCACCCGCCGAGUUUAAGCAUAUCAAUAAGC